UUCAUCCAGAGUGACGGAGGGACCGGCCCUAUGAUGUCGCGGCAACCAUCUCGUUUGAGAACGGUGCCAAUUCCGACGGGCAAUCGCCCGACAGAUGAA
rnacentral:ncRNA from 1 species